CUUGCUUCUCUUGAGAGCGGCGGACGGGUGAGUAAUGCCUAGGAAUCUGCCUGGUAGUGGGGGAUAACGUUCGGAAACGGACGCUAAUACCGCAUACGUCCUACGGGAGAAAGCAGGGGACCUUCGGGCCUUGCGCUAUCAGAUGAGCCUAGGUCGGAUUAGCUAGUUGGUGAGGUAAUGGCUCACCAAGGCGACGAUCCGUAACUGGUCUGAGAGGAUGAUCAGUCACACUGGAACUGAGACACGGUCCAGACUCCUACGGGAGGCAGCAGUGGGGAAUAUUGGACAAUGGGCGAAAGCCUGAUCCAGCCAUGCCGCGUGUGUGAAGAAGGUCUUCGGAUUGUAAAGCACUUUAAGUUGGGAGGAAGGGCAGUUACCUAAUACGUGAUUGUUUUGACGUUACCGACAGAAUAAGCACCGGCUAACUCUGUGCCAGCAGCCGCGGUAAUACAGAGGGUGCAAGCGUUAAUCGGAAUUA
rnacentral:rRNA from 1 species